ACAGGAAGUGUAUAAAAGAAAACAUAUGACUUUGUAAAAUGAAAAUUUCCUCAACAACACUUUUCAUCAUCAGUGAAUUACUAACCAAAGAGUACACUGAGACAUACUAACAAGAAGAUGGGACUCUAGUCACCACAACUCCUAAUGAUAUUGACCAUUGCUAUUAUCAUGGGAGGAUUUUGCAUGACACUAAGUCAUCUGUUAGCAUCAGCACUUGUGAUGGACUCAGGGGUUACUUCAGAACCUCUGAACAGAGGUACCAGAUUGAGCCCCUCUCUGAUAGCGAUGAGGGAGACCAUGCUGUGGCCUCAUUGAAGGACAUCUCUAGCGUGUGGAGUUACCAACACCAGUUGGAGUACUGACUUUGAACCACCAAGUCGCAGCCGAUCCAGAUCAGGGAGAAUAUCUAUGCUUCAGCAACAGAAGUACAUUGAGCUCUUCCUUGUUGUUGAUAACAGUGAGUUUUCUUUACAGCGGUGUUAUGAUGACCAUCAGGAACAUUACAGGCACAGUGGAGGGAGAAAACUGAACUUCCAAUUGUUAAUUUUUAAGGCAAUUACUUAUUGGUAAGAUUUGAACAUUUCCUAACCUAAAGUGAGCCACACUGUACUGUACAUGAUGUUGUUGUUUUUUAUGGUAAUGUUAGAGAAAAUUGCACAAGAAUGUGUUUCAUUGUAAAAUAGCACCCUGCUUUUCUGAUUUAACACUCAGGAAUAUCCUGAAAUUUUGCUGAUCAUCUUUUAUUUGAUGAUCUAAGAACUUUGCACUCUAAUAGUUGUAAUAGAAACAGUAACUCCAGGUUUCAAGUUUGACACAGAGAGAUUAUCAGGACUCAAUAUCACUUAAGCUUCAAAUGUUUGGUUUAGCUAUGUAACAGCAUUUCUCAUAAUAAGUGCUGGUGAUGUUACUCAAGUUCAGUUUUUUUAAACAUAGUAGGUGCAUUAAAAUGAAUCUAUAAAUUCA